rnacentral:rRNA from 1 species
GGCAACAGCUCAAAUUUGAAAUCUGGCUCUCGGGCCCGAGUUGUAAUUUAGAGAAGUGUUACCCGUGCUGGGCCGUGUACAAGUCUCCUGGAAUGGAGCGUCAUAGAGGGUGAGAAUCCCGUCUUUGACACGGAAUCCAGUACAUUGUGGUGCGCUCUCAAA